rnacentral:lncRNA from 1 species
GCGUUUUUAUUGGCUUGAAAAGGAUAACCCAACAGCAGCGUGGGGUGAAGGGGUCCUCGGCCUUGUCUUCACAGAGCUCCGCCCCACAGCGAUGUCGUGGCCCUCAGGCAGCAGCACUCCCUCCUCAUGCACUCCAUGGGGCCCGUGGUCCUCAGGCUCUGAGGCCCUUCUCGGGUCUUCGCUGCAGUGCUGCAGCUUUAGAAUCACUCCACCUCCAUUCUCAGCGCUCCUCAUGAUGGGGCUCCGGGCUGUGGGGCUGGGACAGGCAGAGCUCAGCCUCCAGCAGAGGACGGCCAUAUGGGGGUGGAGUGGCACUCUGCUGGGUGAGCGCAGCCAUCCCACA